rnacentral:rRNA from 1 species
GAUCAUGGCUCAGGAUGAACGCUGGCGGCGUGCCUAACACAUGCAAGUCGAACGGAGUCGUUUUGGAAAUCUCUUCGGAGAUGGAAUUCUCGACUUAGUGGCGGACGGGUGAGUAGCGCGUGAGCAAUCUGCCUUUGAGAGGGGGAUAACAGUCGGAAACGGCCGCUAAUACCGCAUAAAGCAUCAAAUUCGCAUGUUUUUGAUGCCAAAGGAGCAAUCCGCUUUUAG